CUCGAUAAUAGGAAUGUCCUUGAAUGUGUAGAUAUGGCACCCAUCACUAACGUUAUAAAAGGAAAUGGACCUCAUACCUACAUCCAGGUUUAAAACUGACAACAACCCUGAGCUACUCUUAGGCAAAACUGCGAAAUAACACGUUUUCCUAAAUAAGUAAUUGAGAGGUUGCGUUAGUGUCCAUGGCUGCCAUAACAAAUCACCGCAAAUUGAGUGGCUUAUGACAACAGAACUUCAUCAUCUCACAGUUCUGAAGGGCUGGAGUCCAAAACCACGAUGUCGACAGGGCGGUGCCCUCUCCUGAGACUCUGGGGAAGAAUGUGUUUCACGGCUCUCAGUUCCUGCUGGUUGCCAGCAAUCCUUGAUAUUCUCUGGCUUGAGGACGCACCACUGAAUCUCCAUCUUCAUGUGAAAUUCUCCCAGUCUCUUACAGGGACACUUGUCUUGGGAUUUAGGCCCACCAGGAUAACGUAGGAUAACCGCUUCAACUGGAGGUCCUUAAUAAGUAUAUCUGCAAAGGUUUUUCUGCAGGUAACAGUAACACAUUUCAGGGGUUAGGACAUGAAUAUAUCCUUUUGAGAGACACCAUUUAACCACUACUAGAUGAUGAAAACUUUUUUUGUAGAGAUCGGGUCUCCCUAUGAUGCCCAGGCUGGUCUCAAACUUCUGGCCUCAGCCAAUCCUCCUGCCUUGGCUUCCCAAUCUGCUGGAAUUAAAAGGUGUUAGAAUUUAAAAACAGACUAUA
rnacentral:lncRNA from 13 species